rnacentral:tRNA from 1 species
GGCCCCGUAGCUCAGCGGUUAGAGCAACCGACUCAUAAUCGGCAGGUCGCUGGUUCGAACCCAGCCGGGGCUA